ACCAUGGUGGCUUGUGCCUGUAGUCCCAGCUACUCAGGAGGCUGAGACAGGAGGAUCGCUUGAGUCCAGGAGUUCUGGGCCGUAGCGUGCUAUGCUGAUCAGGUGUCGGCACUAAGUUUGGCAUCAAUAUGGUGACCUCCCUCCUGGGAGCGAGGAACUACCACAUUGCCUCCUUAGGCCCAGGUCAAAAACGGAGCAGGUCAAAACUUCCAUGCUGAUCAGUAGUGGGAUCGUGCCUGUAAAUAGCCACUGAACUCCAGCCUGGACAAUAUAGUGAGACCCUGCCUUU
rnacentral:SRP_RNA from 1 species